rnacentral:rRNA from 1 species
UACGUAGGGUCCGAGCGUUGUCCGGAAUUACUGGGCGUAAAGAGCUCGUAGGUGGUUUGUCGCGUUGUUCGUGAAAACUCACAGCUCAACUGUGGGCGUGCGGGCGAUACGGGCAGACUUGAGUACUGCAGGGGAGACUGGAAUUCCUGGUGUAGCGGUGGAAUGCGCAGAUAUCAGGAGGAAUACCCAUAGCGAAGGCAGCUCGCUGGGACGUUACUGACGCUGAGGCGCGAAAGCGUGGGGAGCGAACAGG